GCUAGGACAGGGGUACAUCAAACAAGAGAAGCUGGAACUGCAUGACCGGAGCGACCCAGAGAAGACGCCGGUCGCAAAUCUGAAGCGAACUUCUGCUCGCGACGAGCCAUGGCGGAAGCUCUCAUCGAGCUCGAGCAAGUUCUCAGGUCCAAAAAGGUGACGAUGACUCUCGAAGAAGCCAAUCUUCUUUCGGCGUGCAAGUCGAAAGCUUUGGACAAUUUCACGUAUGGCAUUGGGCUUAGCUCUGGCAUUGUAUGGGCAGGUUCGCAUUUCGGGUUACGAUUCUUUUCGAGUUACUGUCGGACUCAAAUGUAGAUGCCCACAUGGCAUCUGUAGGCAAAAGAUCUAGACUACGUGAAUUUGUAUCGGUGAUCACGGCAUAAGUAAUUAAUUUAAAAAAAAGUAGAUGAAUGAGGGCUCGGUCUAGUUAUGAUCCACCAUUUUCAAAGUCAUGACAGUUUGGGCUCGAUCGCUAUCUCCUCCUUCACAUCUUAUCCAAUGGCGUGAGAGAGAAGGAAAGGUGGGGGGAAUAACAAAGAGUUGCGGAAAGGCUUCGUCGAUAUGUUGAUAUGUUGAUUGCAUAUUCCUGAAACCCCGGAUUUCAAGUAAAAAUCAACUGUAAUAUAUCUCUCAAAUACAGAAUGCAGGUGCCUAUGGUCAAUACAUGGCUGGCUACAGAGAGUAAGAGUGUGUCUGAUUCGGAUAGAUACAUCGGAUGAUUAUCAAUGGCACUGUACACUAGACUGACUAACAGCAGCAUGUCUAUUUUAGAGCAACACUCAGUCAUUUUUGCUCCUUCGGGUCUUUGAUGAUUGUACAGCAUAUCAGAUUGAAGACUACAGUAUGACACAUGCAGAUUUAGAAUUUUGGUUUUACGUUAUCACAGGAAUUUCACAUCGCAGAUAUGCCAAGAUCCUAUUUAGAGAGAAUUUACUUCAGUGUAUUGAAAUGCCUUCUAAUCAUGCUUGUGUUGCUUGAAUAUAAGUCUAUGCAACGUGGUCUCUAGUUAAUUUCAGAACAUGUAUGCUGCCAUUUUAGUGUUCUACACUUGGCCUUG